AUUGAACGCUGGCGGCAGGCCUAACACAUGCAAGUCGAACGGUAGCACAGAGAGCUUGCUCUCGGGUGACGAGUGGCGGACGGGUGAGUAACGUCUGGGAAACUGCCCGAUGGAGGGGGAUAACUACUGGAAACGGUAGCUAAUACCGCAUAACGUCGCAAGACCAAAGUGGGGGACCUUCGGGCCUCACACCAUCGGAUGUGCCCAGAUGGGAUUAGCUAGUAGGUGGGGUAAUGGCUCACCUAGGCGACGAUCCCUAGCUGGUCUGAGAGGAUGACCAGCCACACUGGAACUGAGACACGGUCCAGACUCCUACGGGAGGCAGCAGUGGGGAAUGUUGCACAAUGGGCGCAAGCCUGAUGCAGCCAUGCCGCGUGUAUGAAGAAGGCCUUCGGGUUGAAAAGUACAUUCAGCGGGGAGGAAGGCGGUGAAGUUAACAGCUUCACCGAUUGACGUUACCCGCAGAAGAAGCACCGGCUAACUCCGUGCCAGCCGCCGCCGUAA
rnacentral:rRNA from 1 species